AAUAUUUCUGAAUGUUUCCGCAUAUGUAAACAUCACGUUCAGAUUGUUGUUAGAGUUUCAGAAAACUGAAAGCAUUUCGAACAAUAAUGCAUUACGAAACAGUCUGAUUCUCCGACGGAUAAGGAUGAGAAGACAAGCUUGUAGCCUGGCGUUUAUUUUAGCCUUGUUAUGGGGUACUGUUUACAGCUGUGAAAACUGUUUACCAAAUCCAGACAAUACAACAGACACUUGUAACGUCACUUCCGGACACUGCUUACAUGGAUGCAUCAAAGGCUUUUUUGGUUUGAAUUGCUCAUACGAUUGCCCGAAAAACUGU